rnacentral:rRNA from 1 species
UCGGGAAUUUUGGGCAAUGGGCGAAAGCCUGACCCAGCAACGCCGCGUGAAGGAUGACGUCUCUCGGGAUGUAAACUUCGUAAGAAUAGGAAGAAUAAAUGACGGUACUAUUUAUAAGGUCCGGCUAACUACGUGCCAGCAGCCGCGGUAAUACGUAGGGACCAAGCGUUGUUCGGAUUUACUGGGCGUAAAGGGCGCGUAGGCGGCAAUUCAAGUCAUCUGUGAAAUCUCCGGGCUUAACUCGGAACGGUCAGAUGAUACUGCUUUGCUAGAGUGCAGAAGGGGCAAUCGGAAUUCUUGGUGUAGCGGUGAAAUGCGUAGAUAUCAAGAGGAACACCUGAGGUGAAGACGGGUUGCUGGGCUGACACUGACGCUGAGGCGCGAAAGCCAGGGGAGCAAACGGGAUUAGAUACCCAGGUAGUCCCUGAGCGGGCUGGCAAGGCGCAU